GUGGGAAUAGCUCAGUGGUAGAGCAUAUGCUUAGCAUGCACGAAGUCCUGGGUUCAAUCCCCAGUUCCCCCA
rnacentral:tRNA from 1 species